GAGCGGGGACCACCCCGUAAGGCUAAAUACUCCUUAGUGACCGAUAGCGCAUAGUACUGUGAAGGAAAGGUGAAAAGUACCCCGGGAGGGGAGUGAAAGAGAACCUGAAACCCUGUGUCUACAAGCUGUGGGACCUCUUUAUAUGAGGGACUGCGUACUUUUUGUAGAACGGUCCGGCGAGUUGUGCGUACUGGCGAGGUUAAGGACUUAAGGUCUGGAGCCGAAGUGAAAGCAAGCGUUAAUAGCGCGUCAAGUCAGUGAGUGCAGACCCGAAACCGGGUGACCUAUCCAUGUCCAGGUUGAAGCUUCCGUAAGAGGAAGUGGAGGACCGAACCCACAUCCGUUGAAAAGGGUGGGGAUGAGGUGUGGAUAGCGGAGAAAUUCCAAUCGAACCCGGAGAUAGCUGGUUCUCCUCGAAAUAGCUUUAGGGCUAGCCUCAUACAAGUCUGCCGGAGGUAGAGCACUGAAUUUCCGCGGGGGCGUCAAAGCCUACCAAAGAAUAUCAAACUCCGAAUGCCGGACAGAUGGUGUAUGGGAGUCAGACUGUACGAGAUAAGUUGGACAGUCAAAAGGGAAAGAGCCCAGACCGCCGGCUAAGGUCCCAAAGUGGGUGUUAAGUGGAAAAGGAUGUGGGAUCUCUAAGACAACCAGGAUGUUGGCUCAGAAGCAGCCAUUCAUUAAAAGAGUGCGUAACAGCUCACUGGUCGAGAGGUCCUGCGCCGAAAAUGUCCGGGGCUGAAACACCACACCGAAGCCGCGGAACCCGUAAGGGUUGGUAGAGGAGCAUUCUUAGGGGAGUGAAGCAUUACCGGAAGGGGAUGUGGACCGCUAAGAAGAGAGAAUGCCGGAAUGAGUAGCGAGAGCAAGGUGAGAAUCCUUGCGGCCGAAUAUCCAAGGUUUCCAGAGUAAAGCUGAUCUGCUCUGGGUAAGUCGGGGCCUAAGGAGAGGCAGAGAUGCGUAUCCGAUGGACAGCAGGUUUAAGAUUCCUGCACCCCUUGUUAUCAGAACUGCGGGGACACGGGAAGGGAAGCAGAGCCGGGAAUGGAAAGCCCGGUGCAAGCGAAGUAGUCGCAGGGUUGGAAAAUCCGCCCUGCAUGAGACGAAGGCGUGAUGCGGAGCGAAAUGAAGUAGUGAAGCUGCGGCCCCUUCCUGUCGAGAAAAGCCGCUAUCGUGUAGCAAGGGCCCGUACCGUAAACCGACACAGGUGGAUGAGGAGAGGAUCCUAAGGCCGGCGGGAGAAGUGUUGUUAAGGAACUCGGCAAAAUGACUCCGUAACUUCGGGAGAAGGAGUGCUGCGCAAGCAGCCGCAGAGAAAUGGCCCAAGCAACUGUUUAGCAAAAACACAGGUCUAUGCGAAACCGGAAGGUGAGGUAUAUGGGCUGACGCCUGCCCGGUGCUGGAAGGUUAAGGGGAGAGCUUAGCGCGAGCGAAGGUUUGAACUUAAGCCCCAGUAAACGGCGGCCGUAACUAUAACGGUCCUAAGGUAGCGAAAUUCCUUGUCGGGUAAGUU
rnacentral:rRNA from 1 species